GUAGGUGGCAAGCGUUGUCCGGAAUUAUUGGGCGUAAAGGGCUCGCAGGCGGUUUCUUAAGUCUGAUGUGAAAGCCCCCCGGCUCAACCGGGGAGGGUCACUGGAAACUGGGGAACUUGAGUGCAGAAGAGGAGAGUGGAAUUCCACGUGUAGCGGUGAAAUGCGUAGAGAUGUGGAGGAACACCAGUGGCGAAGGCGACUCUCUGGUCUGUAACUGACGCUGAGGAGCGAAAGCGUGGGGAGCGAACAGGGAUUAGAUACCCUGGUAGUCCACGCCGUAAACGAUGAGUGCUAAGUGUUAGGGGGUUUCCGCCCCCUUAGUGCUGCAGCUAACGCAUUAAGCACUCCGCCUGGGGAGUACGGUCGCAAGACUG
rnacentral:rRNA from 1 species